GUGGCUGCUUUGUGACCUGCAGAACUUAUUUCAAUGCCUAUGGGAGGGAUGGGAAAGGCUCUUUUAGCUUCAUAAUAACAUGAAAGGCUGCAGAGCUGCAUGCAGGAUUGGAUGCCAUGGCCAUGCUCCCUUCCCACCAAAAGAACAGCUGAGCACCAGCGUUAAUGAGCAGGCAAUUCUUCCUGGCAUCCAGCAGAUGGGACUAGUGGAGAAUUAUUUCCAAGGCUUGCCCUGCAAGAGCUGCUCUCAGGAGGAGAGGAGAUGAAGCAGGAACUUGAAACCCCUCACCUGAGAGAAGAGAGGUGGGCAGGGUGUGGCUGAUGGCCAUCAGUGGGGACUUGUGCUUCCUGCCCUCCUGGCAACUCUUAGUAUGAAUUCUAACCUUAAUGGAUGACUUGCCAUAGUGAUU